rnacentral:rRNA from 1 species
CUACGGGCUGCUGCAGUGAGGAAUAUUGGUCAAUGGGCGCAAGCCUGAACCAGCCAUCCCGCGUGGAGGAAGACGGCCCUAUGGGUUGUAAACUUCUUUUCAAGGGGAAGAAUUGUCCCGACGUGUCGGGGCUUGCCGGUACCUUUGGAAUAAGCAUCGGCUAACUCCGUGCCAGCAGCCGCGGUAAUACGGAGGAUGCGAGCGUUAUCCGGAUUUAUUGGGUUUAAAGGGUGCGUAGGCGGAUCGGUAAGUCGGCGGUGAAAUGCCAUGGCUCAACUAUGGAAUUGCCGUUGAUACUGUCGGUCUUGAAUAUGGUCAAGGUAGGCGGAAUGUGUAAUGUAGCGGUGAAAUGCUUAGAUAUUACACAGAACACCGAUUGCGAAGGCAGCUUGCUGGGCCAGAAUUGACGCUGAGGCACGAAAGCGUGGGGAUCGAACAGGAUUAGAUACCCCGGUAGUC